rnacentral:lncRNA from 1 species
GAUACGACUGGUACCUAAAUCUGAGGUUGUCAACAACAUCCCAUUGCAAGAGAGAGACUUUUGGACUAUUCCCAAAGUCCAAAGUCUAUUCAAGCAAAGCCACAUUCUUAACAAAAUCUGACUCCUAAAAGUACUAUGCUGGUAGGAAUUUGUCUUCAAUACAAUCACACCUAUUUAGCAGAAAAGCUCCUGUUUCUUACCCCUGCUACCUCAAGGACAGAUAUGUAGAGAAAUGUCCUGCACCGAUUCUUCCUGAAGAGUCAAGGGAACAUAUUUACAGUUCAUGGGCAAAUAAACUUACAUUGUAAAUGAUCAUAUAUAAGCUAAUGAGGAAUUGAAGGAAAGUAAUAUUUAUGAAGUACUUAGGUAUGCUAAGCCCUCUAUGAGCUGCUUUAAUACAAAUUACCACAUUAAAUCUUCACAAGAACCCUGGGAGCUAGUUAUUAUUAUUCCUACUCAAGAAUAAAUGGAAACAAUGGUUCCAAGAGGUUAACUAACCUGCACAAGGUCACACUGCUGGUUGAGGAUGGAAUUUAGGUUCUAACUCGGAAUUAUCUCAUUCCAAAGCUCAUCUUCUUUCCUUUACCUUCUAUUUCUUCAUGGCUAAGUUUAUGGC